CCUACGGGUGGCUGCAGUGAGGAAUAGUGGUCAAUGGGCGCGAGCCUGAACCAGCCAAGUAGCGUGAAGGAUGACUGCCCUACGGGUUGUAAACUUCUGUUAUAAAGGAAUAAAGUGAGGCACGUGUGCGUUUUUGUAUGUACGUUAUGAAUAAGGAUCGGCUAACUCCGUGCCAGCAGCCGCGGUAAUACGGAGGAUCCGAGCGUUAUCCGGAUUUAUUGGGUUUAAAGGGAGCGUAGAUGGGUUGUUAAGUCAGUUGUGAAAGUUUGCGGCUCAACCGUAAAAUUGCACUUGAUACUGGCAGUCUUGCGUACAGUUGAGGUCGGCGGACUUC
rnacentral:rRNA from 1 species